rnacentral:lncRNA from 1 species
UCAUGAUCAAGAAUAUUGGUAGUGUUAUCUUGUGAACUAGAUUGGAAGCCACUUACUAGGAGAAUAGCUAUGAUAAAAUUACAAAAACAAAAUAUAAUGUGAGAAUUGGAAGAAGCAAUAAAGAUCAUCUCAAAUAUUGAACUCAACAUAGUUAAAAACGAUAUCUCGAAUUCGAUCUGUGUGAAAUGAAUAACUUGUCAACAAAGAGUGUUUUACUCAGUAAAUCUCGAAUACCAGAGAAUCUUGAAAACAAACAAGUUGCAAGAAGAUAUAUUGAGAGAAUAUUUGAGA